CAGCCAAGUAUGCCGUAAUUCAACUGAAGAGGCAGGGUACAGAAUGGGGGAAAAUCUUUAUCUAUAAAGGCACCAAACACUGGAAAUGAUGGCAGGAGAAUUUGUGCCUGGAGAAUGCUCUGCAGGCGCAAGAGUCUGUUGGAUGACCUGGUUAAAAUUUAAUCAAGAAACCGUUGCUUGCUGGAACAGCUAGAACGGCAGGCAUGUGAUGGAUUGAACGUCAGUUGUCACAUACAUCUCCUUGCACUCAGUGGCUGAUGGAUUGUAGAGACCAUUCACUCUGCCGCUCCAGUCUGCUAAAGCCAUCAGACUCUCUACGUCAUGGUACCCCCGCGGAACCACAUUGAGAAGCUGUUGUUCUCCUGCUACCUUCAUGAGUUGAGGAAAGCAAGGUCAUCCACUCAUAAUGGCAGCCCCAACGUGACUCCCUGGAUCCCAGCCACCACCUGCCUUUGCUUGGCCAACUUUUCAAUUCAGAGUACUCUGGGAUUUUUAGGAAAGUGAAAGGACAAUACAAAGAUAUCUUGCAGCCAAUCAGCUUCCCUGAGUUCUAAAUCAAGUGACCAACCUCACUCAUCAAGACAACAAAGAAUUCAGCAGACAGAUUAAUUAAAG